rnacentral:rRNA from 1 species
GACGAACGCUGGCGGCGUGCUUAACACAUGCAAGUCGAGCGGAGCGGCAAACGGGUGAGUAACGCGUGAGUAACUGCCCCCCUCUCUGGGAGACCAGUUGGAAACGGCUGCUAAUACCGGAUAGUGGGGGCUGACUGGGGUACUAUCAGGUUGUUGGUGGGGGAGUGGCCUCCCAAGUCGACGACGGGUAGCCGGCCUGAGAGGGGGAACGGCCACAAUGGUCUGAGAGACGGACCAAUGUCAUACGUGAGGCAGUAGUGGGGAGUAUGGCACAACGGGGGAAACCCUGAUACAGCAACGCCGCGUUCGGGAGGUAGUCCUUCGGGUGGGAAACCGCUUUCAGCCAUUACGCGGUAGUGGCAGAAGAAGCACCGGCUAACUACGUGCCAGCAGCCGCGGUAAUAC